rnacentral:tRNA from 1 species
GCCCGAAUGGUGAAAUUGGCAGACACGCUAGAUUCAGGUUCUAGUGACUUCACGGUCAUGGAGGUUCAAGUCCUCUUUCGGGCA